AUACUUACCUGGCACAGGAAAUAUCAUAAUCACAAAGAUGGUUUUCCCAUGGCAACACUUAUCCAUUGCUUUCCAGAUGUGCUAGCCCCUGCAAUUUCCCCAAAUGUGGGAAACUUGACUGCAUAAUUUGUGAUGGUGCAUGUACCAUGUUCACAGACUCCCUUA